rnacentral:rRNA from 1 species
AUUGAACGCUGGCGGCAGGCUUAACACAUGCAAGUCGAGCGGGGUGAUGGUGCUUGCACUAUCACUUAGCGGCGGACGGGUGAGUAAUGCUUAGGAAUCUGCCUAUUAGUGGGGGACAACAUCUCGAAAGGGAUGCUAAUACCGCAUACGUCCUACGGGAGAAAGCAGGGGAUCACUUGUGACCUUGCGCUAAUAGACGAGCCUAAGUCGGAUUAGCUAGUUGGUGGGGUAAAGGCCUACCAAGGCGACGAUCUGUAGCGGGUCUGAGAGGAUGAUCCGCCACACUGGGACUGAGACACGGCCCAGACUCCUACGGGAGGCAGCAGUGGGGAAUAUUGGACAAUGGGGGGAACCCUGAUCCAGCCAUGCCGCGUGUGUGAAGAAGGCCUUAUGGUUGUAAAGCACUUUAAGCGAGGAGGAGGCUCUUUUGGUUAAUACCCAAGAUGAGUGGACGUUACUCGCAGAAUAAGCACCGGCUAACUCUGUGCCAGCCGCCGCAGUAA